UACGGGGGGGGCAAGCGUUGUUCGGAAUUACUGGGCGUAAAGGGCUCGUAGGCGGCCAACUAAGUCGGAUGUGAAAUCCCCAGGCUUAACCUGGGAACUGCAUCCGAUACUGGAUGGCUUGAAUCCGGGAGAGGGAUGCGGAAUUCCAGGUGUAGCGGUGAAAUGCGUAGAUAUCUGGAGGAAUACCGGUGGCGAAGGCGGCAUCCUGGACCGACAUUGACGCCUGAGGAGCGAAGCUAGGGAGCAAACGGG
rnacentral:rRNA from 1 species